GAUGAACGCUAGCUACAGGCUUAACACAUGCAAGUCGAGGGGCAUCAGGGUAGCAAUACCGCUGGCGACCGGCGCACGGGUGAGUAACACGUAUCCAACCUGCCUAUUACUCAGGAAUAACCUUUCGAAAGAAAGACUAAUACCUGAUGGCACCUUUUUAGGUCAUCCUUAGAGGGUUAAAGAUUUAUCGGUAAUAGAUGGGGAUGCGUUCCAUUAGUUUGUUGGUGAGGUAACGGCUCACCAAGACAUCGAUGGAUAGGGGUUCUGAGAGGAAGGUGCCCAACAGUGGAACUGGGACACGGGCCAAACUCCUACGGGAGGCAGCAGUGAGGAAGAUUGGUCAAUGGGCGCUAGCCUGAACCAGCGAAGUAGCGUGAAGGAUGAAGGCUCUAUGGGUCGUAAACUUCUUUUGUAUGAGAAUAAAGUUUGCCACGUGUGGCAUUUUGUAGGUAUCAUACGAAUAAGGAUCGGCUAACUCCGUGCCAGCCGCCGCCGUAAAAC
rnacentral:rRNA from 1 species